AACAGCACAAACAUCACACAUCUUGCCCACACCUACCUGUGCACAUGUGCACACAAGCAAGAGGUCGGGCAUGUUGCUGGACUCAUGCGGAAGAAUGUUCAAACAUGAGUGCAACCGCGCCAGGCUUCCUGAGGCCGCAGUGCAGUGACAACACAAACACCACAGCUCACAGGAAAUCAAGGCGCAAGAGCCACAAUGAAGACAAUAAAGCCUUCAGAGCUACUCUGGCGCCUGCCCUCAAACAAACAAACCCACAAAGACUCAUUUGAAGAGAGCACGUCGAUACACUACCCGCAGGCGUGUGCAUGCAACAAACGGCGAAAGCUCGCACAGGAGAGCUCGAAAGCUUUACCUGCGCUCGCACCAUUUCGCUCCUCGUCGGAGGCGCCGCAACUGGCAG
rnacentral:rRNA from 1 species